GUGCCAGCAGCCGCGGUAAUACGUAGGAUGCUAGCGUUGUCCGGAUUUACUGGGCGUAAAGCGCGCGCAGGCGGCACUGUAAGUAAGGUGUGAAAUAUCCCUGCUCAACGGGGAGGGUGCACUUUAGACUGCAGAGCUAGAGGACGGUAGAGGGGGGUGGAAUUGCUGGUGUAGCGGUGAAAUGCGUAGAGAUCAGCAGGAACACCCGUGGCGAAGGCGGCCCCCUGGGCCGAACCUGACGCUGAGGCGCGAAGGCUAGGGGAGCGAACGGGAUUAGAUACCCCGGUAGUCC
rnacentral:rRNA from 1 species